UACGUAGGUCCCGAGCGUUGUCCGGAAUUACUGGGUGUAAAGGGUGCGCAGGCGGUCUUGUGCGUCAGAAGUGAAAUAUCACGGCUUAACCGUGAGGGUGCUUUUGAUACGGCAAGACUUGAGUACGGGAGAGGAUGAUGGAAUUCCUGGUGUAGCAGUGAAAUGCGUAGAUAUCAGGAGGAACACCGGUGGCGAAGGCGGUCAUCUGGCCCGGUACUGACGCUCAGGCACGAAAGUGUGGGUAGCAAACAGG
rnacentral:rRNA from 1 species